UCGAUAGUAAUUGCUUUUCCGACGUAGCAGUUAACUUCGUUACGAGGCGAAAGUAGACGUGUUUUGAAAUGGAGGGACGUUUCAUCACUUCACGCUCCUUCCUCAUAAUAUUCGAAUUUGUGUACGUAUUUACUUGUUUGUGUUCCGAGGAAGCAACGAGAGUAAGAGCAAUCAACACAGAUCGUAUGUCACGCUGCCCCUUGAAAGUAGGAGAUACAUUAACACCAAAUGAGAUGA